rnacentral:tRNA from 1 species
UCCUCGGUAGCUCAGUUGGUAGAGCGGGUGGCUGUUAACCACCAUGUCACAGGUUCGAGUCCUGUCCGGGGAGCCA